ensembl:lncRNA
AAAGGUAUAAAAUAUUUAUUUGUUCAGAAAAAAAAGCAUUCCUUUUUUUAAACAACAUACGAGUUAGCUUCAAAAUUACAUUCUCAAAUGGCUUGAUUUGUUACCGAUACCAAACUUGUCGUGCAGGUUUUUUUUUCCUCUGGUUUUAUUCAAAUAUAAAAUGACGAGUUAAAGACUAUGUGCUCAAUGGAACAUACAACAUUAGAGAGCCAAUGAAUUGGUCACCUUGUAAACGCAUCGCAGAGCCCAUUUUGAACCCGCUGUGCAUCCACUUACAGCACAUGCAAGAAAAAGUGGAGUAUCCACAGAUGAGAAUCAACACAAAACUAGCUAGGCAUACCAAUAAUAACUAAACAAGCUGUAUGACGAAGCUUGCAAUAAAUAAACAAGGUUACAUUUCCAUUGAAAGGUGGAUUGUAAGAAACCCAAUUUGUACAAGUAAACGAUUUGGCAUAUUACUUACAUAUAACUUGAUUGUAACAAAAAAAAGUCUUGUUUCAUGUUUACAGUCGACAUGUUUUUUUUCGCAUGGUGAAGUGGAGUUGAUGUUCUAACUAGAUCUACACCUGUCUAAGAAGGUUGGGUACAAAUUUUAAAAAAGCUGGCAAUCAGUGGUGUAAGGUCACUAAUGCAUUAAGCAGCUAGAAAAUGACAUGCAUAAUUUAGUUAAGAGUAUACAUACUGUAUCAAGUGUGAAUUUAAACCGUUUAUUUGUGCAGUAAUAACAUAGUAAACAGUCUGCAAUUUGUCAACUCUUUCCAAAUAAUUACAAUAUUACAAAAAACCUUGUUAAGACUUGUGCUCUGUGUUUCCGUUAGAAAUUAGGUAAAAUAUAAACAAACUUGUAGGCGUGUUCCCUGUACAGCAUUCAAUUAAAAGUAGCCCAUGAACAAAGGGGGGGGGAAUGAGUCCUUACCCCAAGUGAAGGAGUUCAAGUAUCUCUGGGUCUUGUUUGUGAGUGAGGGGACGAUGGAUUGGGAGAUUGGUCGGUUGAAGAUGACUGAGAUGAGUGAUCAACAAAAGCCAUCGCAAUCACAGAAAAGAAGAACGGUAGAUGACAGGGAACAUGAUGGUCAUCUCUGGUGUGUAAUCUUUUGUUUCUUGUCCCUUUGAGGUUUUUCCAAUUUAGCUCCCGUUCGCUUCUGGAAAAGAAAUAUGCGGUGAACUAGGUUUGUAGAUUGCAGAGGAAAUUCAACGUGCAGUUCCCGACACAUUGUAC